rnacentral:rRNA from 1 species
UGGGGAAUCUUAGACAAUGGGGGAAACCCUGAUCUAGCCAUGCCGCGUGAGUGACGAAGGCCUUAGGGUCGUAAAGCUCUUUCGCCAGGGAUGAUAAUGACAGUACCUGGUAAAGAAACCCCGGCUAACUCCGUGCCAGCAGCCGCGGUUAUACGGAGGGGGUUAGCGUUGUUCGGAAUUACUGGGCGUAAAGCGCACGUAGGCGGACUAUUAAGUCAGGGGUGAAAUCCCGGGGCUCAACCCCGGAACUGCCUUUGAUACUGGUAGUCUUGAGUUCGAGAGAGGUGAGUGGAAUUCCGAGUGUAGAGGUGAAAUGCGUAGAGAUGUGGAGGAACACCAGUGGCGAAGGCGACUUCCUGGACCAAUACUGACACUGAGGUGCGAAAGCGUGGGGAGCAAACAGGAUUAGAUACCCCCGUAGUCC